rnacentral:rRNA from 1 species
UACGAAGGGGGCUAGCGUUGCUCGGAAUCACUGGGCGUAAAGGGUGCGUAGGCGGGUCUUUAAGUCAGGGGUGAAAUCCUGGAGCUCAACUCCAGAUCUGCCUUUGAUACUGAAGAUCUUGAGUUCGGGAGAGGUGAGUGGAACUGCGAGUGUAGAGGUGAAAUUCGUAGAUAUUCGCAAGAACACCAGUGGCGAAGGCGGCUCACUGGCCCGAUACUGACGCUGAGGCACGAAAGCGUGGGGAGCAAACAGG